AAGAUCAUCUCAUAUUUGCACAGCCUAAAAGAAUUUAUUUUUCCUGUUGAAUGUAUAUGUAUGUAUACAUUAUGUAAAUUAGCAAUCGUCCUAUCGAUAUUUUCAUUUCUAUAAAAAAUCGAAUGGAUAACUGUAAAAACAGACAGACAUUACAAAUGAAAUAAAUUUCCUUAUUUGUAAAAUAUACAUUUUCUCCAUUCUUACACUAUCUUAGACAUUUUCUCCAUUCUUACACUAUCGUAUUUUCUCCUCUAAUACGGAAUCAUUCCACUUUUUUUUUUUAAAAACUGCGAUUAUUAUUUACAUUUUUGGAUGAAAAAUGUUCUCCAACAAUCGGUUAUUGGAAUUUCAAGUGAUUGCGAUGACGACAAAAGAUAUUUGACAUAUUUUUGUUCGUAACUGUUCAUUGCUUACGAUCUCUCAACAAAGAUAAUCAUCCCUUUACAACGAAAAUCUCUUUUAUAUUUUAAAGUGAAAGUUUUAAAAAAAAAUCAAUCUUUUAAAAUCUUUUCAACUAUUAAAAUUGAAAUCUAUUUCAUUACAAAUUUGAUUCGAUUAAGCUUUCGUCGAUUAAUUUUAUUCUCAAGAUUUUUUUUUUUUUCAUUCAUUAUAUAUAUAAGGCGGAGAAUUAUGGCCAUUGCGAGACAUAGAAACAUCGCUGUAUUUGGCUCAACUUUUCGCGGCAUUUGAACUAUUCGCUAAGCAAAACAUCUUUUGGCAAGCCAAGCGUCCAUAGCGACGUUGCUUUUUGAUCCUUCGAUGUUGGUUCUUCCCUAUCGUUGCGAAGCAGACUUUGCCAAGCGUUGGAUUGUUCACCACCAAUAAGAAAUGUAAGUUUGGUUUAGAUCGUCGUCAGACAGGUUAGUUUUACUAACGGUAAGCCGUGAUAUAUUGUUGCGAUAAUAAUCCUGUUCAGUACGAGAGGAACCGCAGGUUCAGACAUUUAGUUCAUGUGCUUGGCCGAUCAGCCAAUGCUACGAAGGAAUUUGAGGAAUUACGACUAAACGUCUCUAAGUUAGAAUCGCACGUAGACAAGGUAAUGACAAAUUUGCUCCCCGAUGUCCGGAAGCACUAUUCUGUAAUUAACGAUUUAUUCGUUUUAUUAUAGUUAAUGCCUCAUUAUAUGGUCUUGCUACUUAAUCGAAUGGUUAAGUGGUUGCCAAAACCGGAUUACAAUUCAAGGUGCAAAAUCACUUGCAGGCGAUUUGAUUAUUGGUCAAGGUUGUUAUUAGCAGUACAGCAACCUUCAUAUUGUGAUCUGUUGAGACUUAUCCUUUGAUUGGACGAUUUGU
rnacentral:ncRNA from 1 species